UCGAAACCUGCCCAGGAGAGCGACCAGAGAACGUGUUUAUCAUGAACGGGGUAGGGGUGAAAGCCCCUUCCUCGAGCGGGGGAAUCGCUACGCCUCGGCGUGGCGUCCUCCCCGGCACAAUAACGAACCCCGGCGCGGUCUGCGCCAAGGAACAUCAAUACAAGUGUGCCCUUCCGCAACCGGUUCGCCGGUCGCGGGCGUGGCACAAGUCGUAUACAACAUUAAACGACUCUCGGCAACGGAUAUCUCGGCUCUCGCAUCGAUGAAGAACGUAGCGAAAUGCGAUACUUGGUGUGAAUUGCAGAAUCCCGUGAACCAUCGAGUCUUUGAACGCAAGUUGCGCCCGAAGCCAUUAGGUCGAGGGCACGCCUGCCUGGGCGUCACGCAUCGCGUCUCCCCCUGCCGCGGCAAUUGGUGGAAUACAAGGCCUAGCCUAGGACGAAACGGUAGUCGUGCACAUCGUAGCAGUUGAGGACUCGCAGGACCCUUUCUUGUUUGCCCCUAGGGGCAGCAAAACCG
rnacentral:rRNA from 1 species